rnacentral:rRNA from 1 species
UACGAAGGGGGCUAGCGUUGCUCGGAAUCACUGGGCGUAAAGCGCACGUAGGCGGCUUCUUAAGUCAGGGGUGAAAUCCUGGAGCUCAACUCCAGAACUGCCUUUGAUACUGAGGAGCUUGAGUCCGGGAGAGGUGAGUGGAACUGCGAGUGUAGAGGUGAAAUUCGUAGAUAUUCGCAAGAACACCAGUGGCGAAGGCGGCUCACUGGCCCGGUACUGACGCUGAGACACGAAAGCGUGGGGAGCAAACAGG